UUUUUUUUUUUUUAAUCCUUAGAAGUUUUGGUAUGAGGCUUAAUUUUUGUGGGCUUUCCAUACUUCAGUACUGCCAGUCUUUUGACAAGCUAAAGAGAAGUUGUAAAGGCCUAAAAUCUAAACUUGCUGUUUGUGAGGAUGUACUGGUGCAUGUAAAGAGGGAUGGCUGAGGAAAAAGCAAGGAAUGUUGGAGAUGGAAGGGGGGAGGGGUUAGAAAGUAGGUUCCUAUAAAGUAUGCUUCAUUUAAACUAAAUUGAAGGACCGAAGAAUCCUUGGAAAUAUUAUGAGUGAAGGUUAGAGAAAUUAUCUCUUGGAUAAUUACAUUAGCUUAAAUAAGCAUCUCAUAGAAAAGUUUCUAUUCCCAACAUUGAUCAAUGUUGUUUGAAAUCGCUCAAACCAACAAAAGGCACGAGUGACUGUUCUGGCCAAUCGAAGCUUAAACGAACAAAAGGCAAAAGAUGGAGUUCUAACUGGUGUUUAUAUGUCAGUGGAAGCAGUUAGGAUCCAGUCCAUGCAUGCAAACUCCUUAGAAGCCCAAUUCAAAACAAUAAUUUGGACUCCCAACUCUGCUCUGGCCUAAUUCUAUUAUUCUGGCAAGGCUGCAGAAAUGAAAAUUUUGCAAAAUGUCAUCAUUUAGUAGCUUUUGAGCCUCAAAAGUUGAAACAUCUCACUAUUUUUAAAUUAGUAAAUUGUCAAUAUUUAUGUUUUAUGUAAUUUAUUUAGUUUUGAUUGUAAUUCCAACUCGAUAGCCAGCAUUUUAGUUGUAUGCAUAAGUUUGGAGUGUCAGAGUUGUCUUAGUCUCAAUGGAAGUUAGAUUAAAAACAAAUGUUGUAUCAGUCUA
rnacentral:misc_RNA from 1 species